AGAGAACAUUUCCAGAGAGAAAAAAACAAUUUGCUCAUCAUGCUUCAGAAGGUAAGAAAAUUAUUUGCAUGCUGAUAUAGUAAAUAUUUGAUUUAAUGUACUUAUAUAACACAUAUCAACAACAAGGCAAUCCAAAGUGCUUUACUAAAUUAGCUAAACUAGAAUAACACAGGUAUAAAACACAAGAAUAAAAGUUACAGUGCUGUGUAAGAUAUUAAUAAAUAUUUGAUUUAAUAAAAAGCAGCGGCUAACAGAAACAUCUUCAAGUUUGAUUCAAAAGAAGUGAGCGUUGCAGCAGAGCCGCAGUUUUCUGGGAGUUUGUUCCAGAUUCUGGGGAUAGAAAGCAAAGAGUUCUGGAUGGUACAUAAUGGAUCAGAAGAUCAGAAAUGUGUUUUGGCCCUAAAACAUUCAGUACUUUAUAAACCAACAGUAGUAUUUUGAAGUCAAUUCUUUAACAGACUGGAAGCCAAUGUAAAAACCUCAAAACCGGAGUGAUGUGAUCCACUCUCUUGGUGUUGGUGAGCUGCAGCUGUCUAAUCGAGACCUGUAAAGACACCGUUACAGUAAUCGAGUCCACUGAAGACAUUAUUCUGAUUUCUGCAGGAGAGAGAGAAACUGGCAUCUUUGGAAGGAAAGUAUGCAGAGUUGUCUGAGGGGCAGACCUUUACUAACAACUCUAUCAAAGAGCACUCUCUGAAGGAAAGGAGAAGGAGCAGCAAAGAAAACUCUUCCCACCCGAGUGACAGCCUACCUCAUAAGAGGAGCCAGCAGCUCCUCACCUCUUACGGCAGAUCCCUGGGACGCAUGCUUCCUCCUAAGGCCCACUUGCCUCUGUCCCAAAGCUCCAGCUGUGGCAGCGUCAUCCCACAAGGAUUCAGCUUCUCCCCCCGGGACCUGAGCACCCGCCGCCU
rnacentral:lncRNA from 1 species